rnacentral:misc_RNA from 1 species
GGUAGCAUUCUCGCUGACAAUACUCGAAGGGGCAAGCAAAUGCCACCACGAGAGUCAUUCAGUUGGGACAAAAUCACUAGCAACGGGCCAAGACGAGACAUUGUCGUCUUACCCAAUGCAUAUUCCGCAUCCGAGAGCUCAAGCGAGCGUUCAUGGGCCAAACAACUACUAUCGCAAUUCGAGUUACGUGGGACACAAACGAAGCUUCGAGGUUCACCGCGUCAUGGGCCUGUAACUAAACGGGCAGACGUCGCGUGAAUGAUACACGAUUUGGCAACAUAGUUCCGCAUGGUAGGAAUGCAACACAGGAAACCAAAGAAAAUGGGUAGCCAAGGCAAGGUGCUCUUGUACCAUCUAAUGAAGAGGAGCGCACGGCCAGAUGUCACUGCCACAACAAUGAUCC